rnacentral:lncRNA from 1 species
GAAGAAAGCGGAACAAAUUACGCGAGCGGGCCUCGUGACGUCUGCGCGCGAGCGAAAGGGAAAGAGGGAGCGAGCAGCCUAUUAAUAAAAACGCGCGGAAUAUCUCCUCGCGCUCAGAAUGGGUUACGUCACGGCGCGGGCGAACGCCUGGCAGCGCGCCGCUUGCGAAACGGGCGGCUGGCGCGUGCGGGCAUUCGCCGUCAUCCGGCUCGGGCGUCGCUUACGCGCACCACGUCGUGCGCCAGGUGAGUUUUCUCGGCGGGAAAACGACCGGCCACGCCCGUCCAGUUUACAUCCCUGGAUUCUAGCGCACAGACCGUAAUCACGCGACACCGAAAGCAGUUGAGAACACGAGAUGAUUGCCUACAAUACGAGGGCUGCCGCCGCUGACUAACCACGACAUGGCGGGAAAUGCGGAAAGCAGAGGCGGCCGUCUUCCGCGUUUUCCAAGGAGGCCGUCGAACUAACUCCCAGGCCAGCACGACGCGUCGACGCUUGUUCUCGCCGAACAGUCAGCGUACGCGGCUCGGCUAUGCACCGUGGCUCGCUCCAUGGCGGGUCGCCUCGUUCGAACCUUCGAGUGGCUUUAAAGGAACUAGCCGGCUUGAGCGAAGAUGAUUCCGCUGCUGGAAAUAUAAUCUGCAGCGUGACGUGAACCGGAUGAGCUCCCAGAUAUCGGUGGCAUUUCGGGCAGUGAACGAAC